rnacentral:rRNA from 1 species
GACGAACGCUGGCGGCGUGCUUAACACAUGCCAGUCGAACGGAAAGGCCCUGCUUUUGUGGGGUGCUCGAGUGGCGAACGGGUGAGUAACACGUGAGUAACCUGCCCUUGACUUUGGGAUAACUUCAGGAAACUGGGGCUAAUACCGGAUAGGAGCUCCUGCUGCAUGGUGGGGGUUGGAAAGUUUCGGCGGUUGGGGAUGGACUCGCGGCUUAUCAGCUUGUUGGUGGGGUAGUGGCUUACCAAGGCUUUGACGGGUAGCCGGCCUGGGAGGGUGAACGGCCACAUGGGGACUGAGAUACGGCCCAGACUCCUACGGGAGGCAGCAGUGGGGAAUAUUGCACAAUGGGCGGAAGCCUGAUGCAGCAACGCCGCGUGCGGGAUGACGGCCUUCGGGGUGUAAACCGCUUUCGCCUGUGACGAAGCGUGAGUGACGGUAAUGGGUAAAGAAGCACCGGCUAACUACGUG